UUUCUUUCCUUUUUUGGUUUUGUUUCUUCACUUUUAAUGAACCAAGAAAAUGAAAUGUGAUCAUACCCACCAGUUGCAUCCUCCAAGAAGGUUGCAGGCUUUUCUCAAAUAUCUGGAGAACCUUCAUGGUUUGAUCAUGAUUACAAAUAAAGAAAGAAGCAGGGUCACUGGAGACAUAGGAACCAUUUAUCACUUUCAACAACAUUCCUGCCUCAAGAGUUUCAGGCUAAACAGAGACUGGAAAACCUUUGAGAGGACUGGCUUGUUGUUAUGUGUUUUCAAGGUGUAGUAUUUUUCCUCAUCCAAAAAGAGUUGGAGUAAGCACAACUCCUCAGUCUUCCUUAGUGGGUGGAUUUCUUCUUCUCCACAUUCACUCAUGGAUAGCAUAUCCUCUUGUGGUCCUUGGCAGCAUGCAGUAUGUCUGGCACUGCUUCCUACAGGGCUUGGGCCCUGCGCUUUGUUUCAGGAACCCCAAGCAUGAGCCAUUGAAAUGACACAGGCCAGCAGAUACUCUUGGGACAGAGGCCAGAUUCAGAACCCGCUUAUCUCUUAGCAUUGUUACUCUCCUCCACCGGGCACAAUAAAUUAUCCUUACUUUUUUUGCCAUCUCAGCUCUUUGUAGAAAA
rnacentral:lncRNA from 1 species